CGCAGAUGGGCGGUGAGGUAUCGCAGUAGGCUCAUAACCUACUUUAAAUAAGUUCGAUUCUUAUAUCUGCAACCA
rnacentral:tRNA from 1 species